rnacentral:rRNA from 1 species
GAUGAACGCUAGCGGCAGGCCUAACACAUGCAAGCCGAGCGGUAUUUGUGCUUCGGAACUGAGAGAGCGGCGCACGGGUGCGGAACACGUGUGCAACCUGCCUUUAUCUGGGGGAUAGCCUUUCGACCGGAAGAUUAAUACCCCAUCAUAAAUUGAGUGGCAUCAUUUGAUAUUGAAAACUCCCGUGGAUAGAGCUGGGCAGGCGCAAGAUUAGAUAGUUGGUUUGGUAACGGCUCACCAAGUCAAUGAUCUUUAGGGGGACUGAGAGGGUGAUCCCCCACACUGGUACUGAGACACGGACCAGACUCCUACGGGAGGCAGCAGUAGGGAAUAUUGGACAAUGGGUUGGAGCCUGAUCCAGCAAUCCCGCGUGAAGGACGAAGGCCUUCUGGGUCGUAAACUUCUUUUGUAUGGGAAAAACCUACUCUCGCGAGAGUAGCUGAAGGUACUAUACGAAUAAGCACCGGCUAACUCCGUG